rnacentral:rRNA from 1 species
CGUGUAGGCGGCCAUGCAAGUCGGAUGUGAAAGCCCUCGGCUCAACCGGGGAAGUGCACUCGAAACUGCAAGGCUAGAGUCUCGGAGAGGAUCGUGGAAUUCUCGGUGUAGAGGUGAAAUUCGUAGAUAUCGAGAGGAACACCGGUGGCGAAGGCGGCGAUCUGGACGAUGACUGACGCUGAGACGCGAAAGCGUGGGAGCAAACA